AGUCUAUGGUCUGCCUCAUAGAUAUAUUCUGCCCCCUGUUGUUAUAAAGGGCCGCAGAACUUUAACUGUGCUAAGGUAGCGUAAUAGUUUGUCUUUUAAAUGAAGACUGUAUGAAUGGCAACACGUGGCUACACUGUCUCCUAAAGGUUAAUCAAAAGUUGCUUAGAGGGUGAAAAAACCCUCCUACAGUAAAAGGACGAGAAGACCCUGAGAGCUUUGACGAAAAGUCUAUAAAGAGACCUUAGUUUUUGUUGGGGCAACAAGGGAACAAGGAACUUCCCCUUUAAACAAGCCCCCCUUCGGGAUAAAGAAUAAGCUACCUCAGGGAUAACAGCAUAAUUUUAUUUAAGCUUGUGACCUCGAUGUUGGACUAGGGAAGUAAGGGUCCAGAAGAUCUUUAUGUAUGCUCUGUUCGAGCUAAUUCCCCU
rnacentral:rRNA from 1 species